UUCUCCAGGGGCCCGCACCCUCAGGCUCUUCCUUCUUUCUGUUGUAGUCCUUUUUCCAGAAACAGUUGCAGUUAAGAGAUGCCUGGCUGGAUCCUUUGGCCUUUAAACCCACGGGCCUGGGCAUCAGCCCAGCUGACCGUAGAAUUCCUCUCGGUCUUCUUGCCCAGGGGACUGGUUCACACGGAGUCAAAUGAUGGCAAGCCAGGAGUCAACCAGACGGCAGGACAGAGUUUUCCCAGGACUCGAUACUCUAGGGCCCCUCCUGUCUUUCCGUGCACUGGACAUCAGACAUCGGAGGAGGUGGCGGCCUUCGGCCAAGAUCGCCCCCAAACGCUGGACAACUUUUUGGAGUUGCCUAUAUACCAAGGAGGGAAAAAUCUCAGACUUCCCUUUAUUUCCACUCAAAUUAAAUUUGAAGGUUCGCUCAUAUUUCUGUUCCCUACUGUUGUUCAGUUUUACUGCUCUAUCAUAUCCCAACGUCUAAAUAUGCCAUAAUUCACGUAUCUGUUUAUCUAUUUCUGUUGCCAGGAUUUGGACUGUUGCCAACAUUUUAAUACUCGCAAUGGUGCUGCCAUGAACAUUCUGGUAAUACCUACGACAAGAAAUGCUGGUAUGUGAGACAUGUAGGGGCUCGGCCCCAUGAGACAAUGCCAAAAUGCUUUCCGAAACAGCAAUAUAAUUUCAAGAGAAAAAAAAAGAGAGUCCAAAAAAAGUAUACAAACUCUCUGCAUUCUCUUCUCAAUUUUUCUGGAAAUUGAAAACCAUUCUAAAACUUCAUUUUUUUUUCCUUAAAUUAUACAGCGUGGGGGGCCCCUGUGUGGCACAGUCUGUUGAGCAUCUGACCUCGGCUCAGGUCAUGAUCUCGCGGUUCGUGGGUUCGAGCCCCGCGUCGGGCUCUGUGCUGACAGCUCGGAGCGUGGAGCCCGCUUCGGGUUCUGUGUCUCCCUCUCUCUCUCUCUCUGCCCCUCCCCUGCUUGUGUGCUCACGCUCUCUCUCUCUCUCUCUCUAAAAUAAAUAAACUUUAAAAUAAGUAAAUAAUAAAAUU
rnacentral:lncRNA from 1 species